GCUGGGUAGCUAUGUACGGAAGGGAUAAGCGCUGAAAGCAUCUAAGCGUGAAGCCCCCCUCAAGAUGAGAUUUCCCAGUAUGUAAGACCCCUUGAAGACGACGAGGUAGAUAGGUUGGGGGUGGAAGUGCAGUAAUGCAUGGAGCUGACCAAUACUAAUCGGUCGAGGGCUUAUCCUAAA
rnacentral:rRNA from 1 species